rnacentral:misc_RNA from 1 species
AAAGGUGACAUAUUCUUAUAAUAUACCAAUUACAGGAGAGCUAGCAAUAUCUUAACAGGUUUGGGGUCUCACUAUAAAAAUUUGCAUGGUAGAUAGCACAAAUAUCCAAAAAGCCUAUAAUCUGCCAUGCAUGAUAUUCAUCGAAGCAGUAUAUAAUAUAGAAAGACAAGAAGAUACUGAUGUAUGAACAUUAAAAUCAUGGGGUUUGUCAUGUUGGAUUGUGAGCUUCUAUAUCAACAU